ensembl:lncRNA
GCCAUCACUUAGCCAACAGGCUGAACAUAACUGUUUAGCUAUUACAUAAAUAUCCCUUUCUAAAAGAGCAUAUCUAUAAGGCAAUCAGAGAGAGGUUUGACAGCUCCUGUUAAAUCCGAAUUGUGCAGUUCUAGCUGUAGGCCUGUUCUGUGUAACACAGUUUAGACAAUCCAGUGUCCUACCCAGUCCAAAAUACACAGUGUUUUUCAGGUAAUUGGUGUGGCCUCAGGCAGAGGAGCUCACAGAUGUGGCUCAGACAGGCUUUUUGUUUAUAUGUUAAAUGUGCUGGAAAUGGGAACCGGAAUUGGAUGUGUCAACUAACAAAGAACACAUACCUUUUUAUAUCUCUCUCUGUCUCUCUCUCAGAGAGCUGCCAAUGUCUGAAGGCGCAGAAGAGAUGGUUUGUGCCAAUGAGGCAUAUGCUGAUUCCCAGGAGUCUUCACCAGGUGCCACAAGCCCAGAGUUUCAUGUUGUUGAGCAGGAUGCCCUUGAUUCUAAAGCUGCAGAGAGAGAAAAACUUGGAGUCCUUGCUAGACUGACUAGCAUUAUAGCAUUUCCCAUCUUCCUGCUGUUCAGAAGGAGCUGAUGACGUCGAUGACACAAAAACUAUCAAGUUCCUGGGCAUUUUCAUACUAGUCCUUACCAUCAUUAUUUGAAAAUGAAUUCUGUAAACCUCAUAAAAUAGUUCACUGUUCUUUUACAAAAGACAU